CUAGCGACAGGCUUAACACAUGCAAGUCGAGGGGCAGCACAGGUAGCAAUACCGGGUGGCGACCGGCGCACGGGUGAGUAACGCGUAUGCAACUUACCUAUCAGAGGGGGAUAACCCGGCGAAAGUCGGACUAAUACCGCAUGAAGCAGGGGCCCCGCAUGGGGAUAUUUGCUAAAGAUUCAUCGCUGAUAGAUAGGCAUGCGUUCCAUUAGGCAGUUGGCGGGGUAACGGCCCACCAAACCGACGAUGGAUAGGGGUUCUGAGAGGAAGGUCCCCCACAUUGGUACUGAGACACGGACCAAACUCCUACGGGAGGCAGCAGUGAGGAAUAUUGGUCAAUGGCCGAGAGGCUGAACCAGCCAAGUCGCGUGAGGGAUGAAGGUUCUAUGGAUCGUAAACCUCUUUUAUAAGGGAAUAAAGUGCGGGACGUGUCCCGUUUUGUAUGUACCUUAUGAAUAAGGAUCGGCUAACUCCGUGCCAGCAGCCGCGGUAAUACGGAGGAUCCGAGCGUUAUCCGGAUUUAUUGGGUUUAAAGGGUGCGUAGGCGGCCUUUUAAGUCAGCGGUGAAAGUCUGUGGCUCAACCAUAGAAUUGCCGUUGAAACUGGGGGGCUUGAGUAUGUUUGAGGCAGGCGGAAUGCGUGGUGUAGCGGUGAAAUGCAUAGAUAUCACGCAGAACCCCGAUUGCGAAGGCAGCCUGCCAAGCCAUUACUGACGCUGAUGCACGAAAGCGUGGGGAUCAAACAGGAUUAGAUACCCUGGUAGUCCACGCAGUAAACGAUGAUCACUAGCUGUUUGCGAUACACUGUAAGCGGCACAGCGAAAGCGUUAAGUGAUCCACCUGGGGAGUACGCCGGCAACGGUGAAACUCAAAGGAAUUGACGGGGGCCCGCACAAGCGGAGGAACAUGUGGUUUAAUUCGAUGAUACGCGAGGAACCUUACCCGGGUUUGAACGCAUUCGGACCGAGGUGGAAACACCUUUUCUAGCAAUAGCCGUUUGCGAGGUGCUGCAUGGUUGUCGUCAGCUCGUGCCGUGAGGUGUCGGCUUAAGUGCCAUAACGAGCGCAACCCUUGCCACUAGUUACUAACAGGUAAAGCUGAGGACUCUGGUGGGACUGCCAGCGUAAGCUGCGAGGAAGGCGGGGAUGACGUCAAAUCAGCACGGCCCUUACAUCCGGGGCGACACACGUGUUACAAUGGCGUGGACAAAGGGAAGCCACCUGGCGACAGGGAGCGAAUCCCCAAACCACGUCUCAGUUCGGGUCGGAGUCUGCAACCCGACUCCGUGAAGCUGGAUUCGCUAGUAAUCGCGCAUCAGCCAUGGCGCGGUGAAUACGUUCCCGGGCCUUGUACACACCGCCCGUCAAGCCAUGGGAGCCGGGGGUACCUGAAGUCCGUAACCGCGAGGAUCGGCCUAGGGUAAAACUGGUGACUGGGGCUAAG
rnacentral:rRNA from 1 species